rnacentral:rRNA from 1 species
GACGAACGCUGGCGGCGUGCUUAACACAUGCAAGUCGAACGGCAAGGCCCUGCUUUUGUGGGGUGCUCGAGUGGCGAACGGGUGAGUAACACGUGAGUAACCUGCCCUUGACUUUGGGAUAACUUCAGGAAACUGGGGCUAAUACCGGAUAGGAGCUCCUGCUGCAUGGUGGGGGUUGGAAAGUUUCGGCGGUUGGGGAUGGACUCGCGGCUUAUCAGCUUGUUGGUGGGGUAGUGGCUUACCAAGGCUUUGACGGGUAGCCGGCCUGAGAGGGUGACCGGCCACAUUGGGACUGAGAUACGGCCCAGACUCCUACGGGAGGCAGCAGUGGGGAAUAGUGCACGAUGGGCGGAAGCCGGAUGCAGCAACGCCGCGUGCGGGAUGACGGCCGUCGGGUUGUAAACCGCUUGCGCCUGUGACGAAGCGUGAGGGACGGUAAUGGGUAAAGAAGCACCGGCUAACUACGU